rnacentral:lncRNA from 13 species
AGACCACUAUAUACCUUUAUCUGACCAUGGUUAGACAUAGACCACUAUAUAACUCUAUCUGACCAUGGUUAGACAUAGACCACUAUAUAACUUUAUCUGACCAUGGUUAGACACUACCACUAUAUACCUUUAUCUGACCAUGUUUAGACAUAGACCACUAUAUACCUUUAUCUGACCAUGGUUAGACAUAGACCACUAUAUACCUUUAUCUGACCAUGGUUAGACAUAGACCACUAUAUAACUUUAUCUGACCAUGGUUAGACACUACCACUAUAUUUGUUUUGUUUGUUAAUUGGUUAAUUUGACCUUUUACUAACCAGAGCCAUGGUGUUGAGAGAAUCAACCUUAGUACAGAACCAAUCAGGACAGAGAAUCAACCUUAGUACAGAACCAAUCAGGACAGAGAAUCAACCUUAGUACAGAACUAAUCAGGACAGAGAAUCAACCUUAGUACAGAACCAAUCAGGACAGAGAAUCAACCUUAGUACAGAACCAAUCAGGACAGAGAAUCAACCUUAGAACAGAGCCAAUCAGGACAGAGAAUCAACCUUAGUACAGAACCAAUCAGGACAGAGAAUCAUGGUCCCAGAGCAGGAUGCAAGGCCAGGUGACAGGCCAUGCCCCUGGUUUGUGUUAGAAAUAAUCAUGGUAACAACAGUGGGUUAAGUUUAGGAGAAGGUCUGUCACUACAGAGUGAAGUUAGUAUAGAGAAUCAUGGUAACAACAGAGCGUUAAGUUUAGGGGAAGGUCUGUCACUACAGAGUGAAGUUAGUAUAGAGAAUCAUGGUAACAACAGAGGGUUAAGGUUAAUGUUUGGGGUAGGUUCAGUCCCUCCAGAAUGUUGAGACGGUUGGGACAAGCCGUUUGGCCUGUCAUUAAGAAACAUCAACAUCUUCAUUAUGGUCCUGAGUGCAGGGCAGACGUCAGACAGCUAAGAGCUCUUUCUGUUUCAGCAGAAAUACAUUCUACAGGUUGAUGUACAGGGCUGAAAUACAUUCUACAGGUUGAUGUACAGGGCAGAAAUACAUUCUACAGGUUGAUGUACAGGGGAGAAAUACAUUCUACAGGUUGAUGUACAGGGGAGAAAUACAUUCUACAGGUUGAUGUACAGGGCUGUCUGAACAAUCCAACAAUGUUAAAAUCAAAUCACACUGUAUUUGUCACAGGCGCCGAAUACAACAGGUGUAGACCUAACAGUGACAUGCUGAAUACAACAGGUGUAGACCUAACAGUGACAUGCUGAAUACAACAGGUGUAGACCUAACAGUGACAUGCUGAAUACAACAGGUGUAGACCUAACAGUGACAUGCUGAAUACAACAGGUGUGGACCUAACAGUGACAUGCUGAAUACAACAGGUGUAGACCUAACAGUGAC